UUUUUGAAAUUACUACAUUCCCCAACAUGUUCUUCCUCGGGGCGUAGGCCUCCCAAAAGGUAAUGGAGGCGUGCAAAGGUUUCCUCGGGCUAGACGAACAUUGGUCCUCGAGUGCAAAGGCAGAAGGGAGCUUGACUGCAAGACUCACGCGUCAAGCAGAGACGAAAGUCGGCCUUAGUGAUCCGACGGUGCUGAGUGGAAGGGCCAUCGCUCAACGGAUAAAAGUUACUCUAGAGAUAACAGGCUGAUCUUCCCCAAGAGUCCACAUCGACGGGAAGGUUUGGCACCUCGAUGUCGGCUCCCUAAAUCAUAAAUAUGACGAUCCCAAGCCCGACCCAACCCGACCAUCGACCCUAGAUCUUAGGCCCAGGGCCGGCCCGUGGGCAAGACCGG
rnacentral:ncRNA from 1 species